rnacentral:rRNA from 1 species
UACGAAGGGGGCUAGCGUUGCUCGGAAUUACUGGGCGUAAAGCGAGUGUAGGCGGUCUGAUAAGUCGGGUGUGAAAGCCCCGGGCUCAACCCGGGAAGUGCACUCGAAACUGACAGGCUAGAGUAUCGGAGAGGUUGGUGGAAUUCUCGGUGUAGAGGUGAAAUUCGUAGAUAUCGAGAGGAACACCGGUGGCGAAGGCGGCCAACUGGACGAAUACUGACGCUGAGACUCGAAAGCGUGGGGAGCAAACAGG